rnacentral:tRNA from 1 species
AGAGGGUUAGUCUAUAAACAAGACCCCUGAUUUCGACUCAGAAAAUCAUGGUUUAAACCCAUGCCCCUCCU